rnacentral:misc_RNA from 1 species
GUAAUGGUUAGGUUUUUUGAGAUCAACGUUUUUUAGGCGUGACCUAUAUUGUCUCAGUCAAGAGGUUUAUUGAGAUGUGGUUUGUUAUAAAAUGGGUUUUGGACAGCCCUGCCCUUCUGCUCUCCCGAAAGAGAGGGAAGGAAGGGUGUUAAACACACAAAACUAGUUCACAUGGGUUGGGUCGAAAAAGACGACACGUCCCCAGUGUGUGUUUUUGAGGCACACACCGAAACGCGUGUCGUCCGAUCGGCAAUGAUCCUUCCGCAGGUUCACCUACGGAAA